rnacentral:rRNA from 1 species
GGGCCCGCACAAGCAGUGGAGUAUGUGGUUUAAUUCGAAGCAACGCGAAGAACCUUACCAGGUCUUGACAUCCGAUGCAUAAUGCAGAGAUGCAUGAAGUCCUUCGGGACAUCGAGACAGGUGGUGCAUGGUUGUCGUCAGCUCGUGUCGUGAGAUGUUGGGUUAAGUCCCGCAACGAGCGCAACCCUUAUCGUCAGUUACUACGCAAGAGGACUCUGGCGAGACUGCCGUUGACAAAACGGAGGAAGGUGGGGAUGACGUCAAAUCAUCAUGCCCUUUAUGACCUGGGCCACACACGUACUACAAUGGCUAUUAACAAAGAGAAGCGAAGCCGCGAGGCAGAGCCAACCUCAUAAAAAUAGUCUCAGUUCGGAUCGCAGGCUGCAACUCGCCUGCGUGAAGCCGGAAUUGCUAGUAAUCGCGGAUCAGCAUGCCGCGGUGAAUACGUUCCCGGGCCUU